rnacentral:rRNA from 1 species
AGCGGAGGAAAAGAAACUAACAAGGAUUCCCCUAGUAACGGCGAGUGAAGAGGGAAGAGCUCAAAUUUGAAAUCUGGCGUGCUCAGUGCGUCCGAGUUGUAAUCUACAGAGUCGUUUUCCGUGCCGGACCGUGUCCAAGUUCCUUGGAACAGGAUAUCAAAGAGGGUGACAAUCCCGUACUUGACACGACCACCGGUGCCCUGUGAUACGUCUUCUACGAGUCGAGUUGUUUGGGAAUGCAGCUCUAAAUGGGUGGUGAGUUCCAUCUAAGGCUAAAUAUUGGCGAGAGACCGAUAGCGAACAAGUACCGUGAGGGAAAGAUGAAAAGCACUUUGGAAAGAGAGUUAAACAGUACGUGAAAUUGUUGAAAGGGAAACGAUUGAAGUCAGUCGUGUCCGGAGUGGCUCAGCCGGUUCUGCCGGUCUACUCCCUCCGGACGGGUCAACGUCAGUUUUGUUUGGUGGAUAAGGGCGGCAGGAAGGUGACUCCCCCUCGGGGGAUUUUUAUAGCCUGUCGUCACAUACGCUGGAUGAGACUGAGGACUGCAGCUCGCCUUCAUUGGCCGGGGUUCGCCCACGUUCGAGCUUAGGAUGUUGACGUAAUGGCUUUAAACGACCC